CUCAAUGAAAUUUAAAUAGCCGCAAUUUAUUGUGCUAAGGUAGCAUAAUCAUUUGUUUUUUAAUUAAAAACUAGAACAAAAGAUUUAACAUUUUUAUUUCUUUCUUAUAUAUAAUUAUCUAAUCUAUCUUAAAUAUAAAAAGAUAUUUAUUUCAUAAAAAGACGACAAGACCCUAUUGAACUUAACUAAAGUUAAACUGGGGUAGUUAAUUAAAUAUAAUUUUAAUUUAAAUAUAAAAAAUACCUUUUAUAAUUAAACUUAUCAAGUUACCAUAGGGAUAACAGCGUAAUAAUUUUCUAUAGUUCUUAUUUAAAAAUAUAUUUGCGACCUCGAUGUUGAAUUAAUAAUCUAUUAAAUGCAACAAUUUAAAAAGAAAGUCUGUUCGACUU
rnacentral:rRNA from 1 species